rnacentral:rRNA from 1 species
AGACGUCUACAUUAGAUACCCGGGUAGUCCCAGCCGUAAACGAUGUGCGUUAGGUGUAUCGGUGACCACGAGUCACCGAGGUGCCGAAGAGAAAUCGUGAAACGUACCGCCUGGGAAGUACGGUCGCAAGGCUGAAACUUAAAGGAAUUGGCGGGGAGCACCACAACAGGUGGAGCCUGCGGUUUAAUCGGACUCAACGCCGGAAAACUCACCAGAUAAGACAGCUGAAUGAUAGUCGGGCUGAAGACUCUACUUGACUAGCUG